GUGCGUAAUAGCUCACUGGUCGAGCGUCUUUGCGCGGAGAAUAUAACGGGGCUAAACCUAACACCGAAGCUUAGGCAAUACAGCAAUGUAUUGGGUAGGGGAGCGUUGUAUACGCGGCGAAACAGUAGCGCAAGCGGCUGUGGAGUGUAUAGAAGUGAGAAUGCCGGAAUGAGUAGCGCGAAUGCAGUGAGAAUCUGCAUGGCCGAAAGCCUCAGGUUUUUGGAGGAAGGUUCGUCCGCUCCAAGUUAGUCGGGAGCUAAGGUGAGGCCGAGAGGCGUAGCCGAUGCACAGACGGUAGAGAUUCCGUCACCACCAAAAGAGUUAAGCACAGGGACACAUAUGAAGUCUCAGAGCCGGGUGUUGGUUCCGGUAGAGAUCGAGGGAAGUUAGUACCGAAGUCUGGGAUGGAAGAUGGCGAGAAAAGCUGUGUGGAUUUCUGAGGUGCCCGUACCGCAAACCGACACAGGUAGGUAGGAGGAAGAUUCUAAGGCCAACGGGAGAAGGGUUGUUAAGGAACUCGGCAAAUUGACCCCGUAACUUCGGGAGAAGGGGUGCUCCAGAGAUGGAGCCGCAGAGAAUCGGCCCAAGCAACUGUUUACCAAAAACACAGGUUUGUGCUAAAUCGAAAGAUGACGUAUACGAGCUGACGCCUGCCCGGUGCUGGAAGGUUAAGAGGAGAUGUGCAAGCAUUGAAUCGAAGCCCCAGUGAACGGCGGCCGUAACAAUAACGGUCCUAAGGUAGCGAAAUUCCUUGUCAGGUAAGUUCUGACCCGCAUGAAAGGCGUAAUGAUUUGGGCACUGUCUCAACAGCCCGCCCGGCGAAAUUGUAGUACCGGUGAAGAUGCCGGUUACCCGCGACAAGACGGAAAGACCCCAUGGAGCUUUACUGUAGCCUAAUAUUGGGUUUCGAUGUUGCAUGCACAGGAUAGAUGGGACUCUGGGAAACCAGUGCUUUGGCGCUGGCGGAGAGGCCGUUGGGAUACCAUCCUUGCGAUAUUGGAAUUCUAACCUGCGGCUCUGAAUCGAGUCGGGGGACAUUGUUAGGUGGGCAGUUUGACUGGGGCGGUCGCCUCCUAAAAAGUAACGGAGGCGUUCAAAGGUUCGCUCAGCUUGAACGGAAAUCAAGCAAAAGAGUGCAAACGCAGAAGCGAGCCUAACUGCGAGACUGACGGGUCGAGCAGUAACGAAAGUUGGAGUUAGUGAUCCGGUGGUAUGUGAGUGGAAAUGCCAUCGCUCAACGGAUAAAAGUUACCCUGGGGAUAACAGGCUGAUCUCCCCCAAGAGUCCACAUCGACGGGGAGGUUUGGCACCUCGAUGUCGGCUCAUCGCAUCCUGGGGCUGUAUUCGGUCCCAAGGGUUUGGCUGUUCGCCAAUUAAAGCGGUACGCGAGCUGGGUUCAGAACGUCGUGAGACAGUUCGGUCCCUAUCUGUCGUGGGCGCAGGAUAUUUGAUGGGAGCUGUCCCUAGUACGAGAGGACCGGGACGGACGUACCUCUGGCGCACCAGUUGUUCUGCCAAGAGCAUAGCUGGGCAACUACGUACGGAUCGGAUAAACGCUGAAAGCAUCUAAGCGUGAAGCCGACCCAAAGAUAAGAUAUCCCACUGUUUCAAACAGGUAAGAUCCCUUGAAGACUACAAGGUUGAUAGGCACGAUGUGUAAGUGGAGUGAUCCAUUCGGCAAGCGUGUACUAAUAGAUCGAGGGCUUGACCAA
rnacentral:rRNA from 1 species